rnacentral:rRNA from 1 species
CCUUGCCAGCCCGCUCAGAAACUUAAAGGAAGUUGACGGGGCCCGGCACAAGCGGUGGAGUAUGUGGUUUAAUUCGAUGCAACGCGAAGAACCUUACCUGGUCUUGACAUCCCGGAGACCCUUAGGAAACUAGGGGUGCUUCCAUCUGGAAGAAUCUGGAGACAGGUGCUGCAUGGCUGUCGUCAGCUCGUGUCGUGAGAUGUUGGGUUAAGUCCCGCAACGAGCGCAACCCUUGCCUUUAGUUGCCAGCAGUUCGGCUGGGCACUCUAAAGGGACUGCCGGUGUUAAACCGGAGGAAGGUGGGGAUGACGUCAAGUCCUCAUGGCCUUUAUGACCAGGGCUACACACGUACUACAAUGGCCGAUACAAAGGGCAGCGACACUGCGAGGUGAAGCCAAUCCCGUAAAAUCGGUCUCAGUCCGGAUUGGAGUCUGCAACUCGACUCCAUGAAGUUGGAAUCGCUAGUAAUCGUGGAUCAGCAUGCCACGGUGAAUACGUUCCCGGGCCUU